rnacentral:tRNA from 1 species
UCCCGGGUCGUCUAAGGGCAGGACAGCGUCUUUUGGUGUCGCUUAUGGGGGUUCGAGUCCUCCCCCGGGAGCCC